GAUGAACGCUGGCGGCGUGCCUAAUACAUGCAAGUCGAGCGAACAGAUAAGGAGCUUGCUCCUUUGACGUUAGCGGCGGACGGGUGAGUAACACGUGGAUAACCUACCUAUAAGACUGGGAUAACUUCGGGAAACCGGAGCUAAUACCGGAUAACAUAUUGAACCGCAUGGUUCAAUAGUGAAAGGCGGCUUUGCUGUCACUUAUAGAUGGAUCCGCGCCGUAUUAGCUAGUUGGUAAGGUAACGGCUUACCAAGGCAACGAUACGUAGCCGACCUGAGAGGGUGAUCGGCCACACUGGAACUGAGACACGGUCCAGACUCCUACGGGAGGCAGCAGUAGGGAAUCUUCCGCAAUGGGCGAAAGCCUGACGGAGCAACGCCGCGUGAGUGAUGAAGGUCUUCGGAUCGUAAAACCCUGUUAUCAGGGAAGAACAAAUGUGUAAGUAACUGUGCACAUCUUGACGGUACCUGAUCAGAAAGCCACGGCUAACUACGUG
rnacentral:rRNA from 1 species